rnacentral:rRNA from 1 species
GCAACAGCUCAAAUUUGAAAUCUGGCUCCCCUCGGGGUCCGAGUUGUAAUUUGGAGAGGAUGUUUCUGGCGCGGCGCCUUCCGGAGUUCCUUGGAACAGGACGCCACAGAGGGUGAGAGCCCCGUACGGUCGGCCUCCAAACCUCAAAGAAACUCCUUCGACGAGUCGAGUAGUUUGGGAAUGCUGCUCAAAAUGGGAGGUAAAUUUCUUCUAAAGCUAAAUACCGGCCAGAGACCGAUAGCGCACAA